ensembl:snoRNA LOC120099496 small nucleolar RNA SNORA17
CCUGUCCCUAGAGGCAUUGUAAGUGUGGUUGCUGUGUCACUUGUGUGUCCAUAGGUGGCAGAAAGGGGAGACCUUAUGUCUACUCUGAGUGUUCUCACCUGUGAACAUCUGAAUGAUUAGUAGCCUAAUCCA